ACCAGUCGAGAAAGCGCUAUUUUGUGCAAUGUGUUUAUAUGGUGGAGCGCACGCUUGCAGUUAUUAGCAACAUGUUGUGUAGCUUUUAAAUGUAUUUGAAAUAAACAAAGCAAGCUUCAUAAACUAUAACCGAAACAAUAUACAUACCUAGCUGCUUAUCAGCUGUUGGCAAUGUCAAGAAAGAGCGCAACGUACCGUGACAGAGAUAUUAAGAAAGCAGAACCAGGGAGGCAGGGACUUCUAGAGUGAAGAAAGAAGCCAUCAGCUGCAGAAAUGGAGACUUUUUCGCCUGGUUCUUCUAUUAUUUGCAUCUUAGUGUGAGGGACUGAAUUUCCAGUUGCUGAUCUCAAUCUCCUCUUCCUUCAGCUUGGGAAGAAUGGGGGCCGGAACCUUAAAGACCAUAGAUAAAGUCAACAACGACCCACAGCUGUGAAAGGUCUGCCCUUUUAAGACGUACUGGGAAGUAUGGAAGCUCGGGUCGAGAGCCGAGAACAACCAAGACAGAGAGAAACCAGGACAGAAACCAAAAAGACAAAAAGAAACGUACUAAUAGCGGGGAAACCGUGGGCAGACCCCCUGUGUAUUUUUAUAGAAGGCUGAGGAACGGUCAGAGUAGGACAGAGACCUGGGUUAUGCGGGUAGCGACAGCUGGGGUAACGCUGCCGAAGUGCAGCCCCUUUUCUUGUGUGUUCUUUUCCUUUUUUGGUAUUUCCGUGGUUCUGUUUUUACCGUUGUUGGUAGACAGACCACGGUCAACAGCGCCCUCUGGGGCCUAAAAAGUCAAACACACCCUGUAAAUAAAACUGGGCACCUGUGUGUCUCCUGUGUCAGUGAAUUACCCACCACCCUUCCACAGUCAUCUUGCUAUUUGACUUUGAUGAAUAGUGUGAUGAAGUGAGAGGAACAGGAAAGAUAGUCGAUAUGCAAUCACACAUACAAUGUGUUCAUUGGGCCGACUUGGACCUGUUCCGAUGUAAGAGAUAUUCCAUCUUCUAAAUUGCUUUGUCCUCAAACUAUCAAGAUUUUUACUGUUCUGCUAUGCAGAUGCAGUCUAAAGGACUUGUUACACGAGUCAAUGCGCUGGCAACCUAUAUUGUAGCAACGUGUUGCCUGUGACGUCACCGCGGGGGAUUUGACCUGUUACACGAUAAAACGAACAGGCAACUCACAUUCGAUACAAAUUGCCUUUAAUCCAAGCAAUAGCCAAUCAUAUUUAAGAACUGCGUCACGUAGUUCUGGAAUUAACAGUAAAUUAACAGUUUGAAAUGGCAGCCAUUAAACAAAAAAGGGCCAUAAGUAGGGUUAGGAGUUUAUCACAGAAAAUUUGGACGUAAAUCACGACGCAGUCACGGUCAGUGCGUUCAAAAUCACGGAGAAAAUGACAGAGGGAGAACAAAGUCACAGGGAUAAAAAAAUAAAUAAAAUACAUGUCUUUAAUAUAAGAAUAUUGCGGCGUUGGUGCGCACAGGUUCAGCAAAGAGCCACAAGACAAGCAAAUGGAAUUUCAAUGUGUUGCUUUUUUAUUUGCUCUGCAACGAUGCCUGCUAACUAACUAGCAUUUAUAAGCACUGAACUAAGCAGAGAUUAAAGACGCAAACGGGAAAGGGUAAGAGACGGUAAGGGUAACACACUGGGGGCGAAA